rnacentral:lncRNA from 1 species
CAGCCACAGCAACGCGGGAUUCCAGCCACGUCUGCAACCUACACCACAGCUCACGGCAAUGCCAGAUCCUUAACCCACUGAGCAAGGCCAGGGAUUGAACCCGCAACCUCAUGGUUCCUAGUCGGAUUCAUUAACCACUGAGACGUGGGUUCGAUCCCUGGUCUCGCUCAGUGAGUUAGGGAUCCAGUGUUGCCAUGAGCUGUGGUGUAGAUCGCAGAUGUGGCUCAGAUCCUACAUUGCUGUGGCUGUGGUGUAGGCCAGCAGCUGCAGCUCUGAUUCCAUCCCUAGCCUGGGAACUUCCAUAUGCUUCGGGUACAGCCCUAAAACAAACAAACAAACAAACAAAAUCCCUGCCACAUUUUUUGCCAGCUGAUGAAUCUUUAGCAGGUCACUCUCUGAGUGGCUCCCUUCAUCUGAUAAAAGUGGAUAAGACCAGUUUACCGAUGACGAUGAUUAAAUGAAAUGUCCUCUGUGUACAAAGUAAGCAAGCAACAAAGGGGGGCUGGGUGCUCGUAACUGUCCUUCUGACCUGUUCUCCUUUCCCAUUAUCUGAGCUGACUGCAGAGGUUCUGGUUUUCCCUGCAGGAACAUCUUUGUUCUAGUCGGGAAUCUUGCUUUCAGACCACAGUACCUGCUUCCUCUUUGGCUGUUUUUUUCUCCCUCAUUUAGCGAAUGUUUUGGGUCCCAUAUCUUGCUCCUUGAUUGUGUUCCUGUGAUUCUAGUUCUGGGUAGUGAGUGUUCUCAGUUGGCUCAGGUUAGAGCCCUAACCCCAUCCGGCCCCUCAGGAACUUGCCGUGUAGCCUUGGCAAAAUCAUUUCAAGUCCUGUACCAUACCUGUGCUUCUUAGACUGAAACGUGAGGAUCCAAUUGAAGGAGGAGAUGGCUUUUGGCUCACAAAUGUCAUACAAGAGUGAAAAAUGUAAAGCAAUGAGCAGUGAACCCUGGAAAAACCAUGACAUUUUUUUUUUUUCCUCCUGAAAAGAAUUUUCAUUGUCGAAAGAGUAAGGCAGAAAUACACAGAGCACUUAGAGGCAGAAUUAUCUCUAAGAAUACUUUUAAUUUUGGAUAUCAGUGACUCUCUUAUUGAUUUUGUGUCUUUAAAUGAAUCUGUUCGCUUUGGAAUCUAGGGAAACCUAGCUGCCUGGGGAAUUAAUCGUACAUAUAAAAGUUUGAAUUUGUAUACCUUUAUUAUCUUAAUAUGGCUGGUUUUAGGUAACUAAAUAAUACAUGCUUACUUAUAUAAAAACUAGAAAAUACAAAAACCUUUGUAUAAAAUAAUCCAGAAAUAAUCUUGACAUUUUGGUGUAUGUCUUUAUCAUUUAUUUUUCUUUAUAAAAUUUGGAUCAUAUUUCAUCCACAGUUUUUAUAACCUACUCUUUGCACUUACCAGGAUCUCUGGAGUGCUUUUCUACAUUUAAAAAUACUCCUCUAAAACAUUUUUAAUGGCUGCUUAUCAUUUUGUUGAAUGACUGUAUUAUGAUUUAUUCAUGUAACCCCUGUUGUUGGACAUUUGUGAAACCUAUUACAAAUAAUGCUUCAAUGUAAAUAUUUGAAUCUUCCUUUUGGA